UAUUAGAAAAAAUGAGAAAAAAAACAAUUUUAGAUAAUCUAAAAACAUUGGCCCAAAAUAACAUGUUAGUGGUUCUUUUACUAGGAACAGAGGACAAAUAAUAAACAGAUGGCCAAAAUAGAAUGUUAGUGUCUUUUUUGAAAAAAAAUAGGCAAUUGAGAAAUUCUAAAAUAAAGACUCACAUAGCAAUGUUAAUGGUGUUUAAAAAAAUGAGGGGGCAAUUUUAGAUAAAUUGGAAUAUGAAGAGUUCAACAGGCAUUAAAGAUGAGAGAGAUAAUGUGAGAAGAUUGA
rnacentral:misc_RNA from 1 species